AUGGUCACCCCCCUGCGCGCCAUGGCGCCCGGGGACGCGGAUCCCUCGCCAGGGGGAGCCAGCGGUUCCCAGCCGGAUCUGGGAGGGAGCGGCGACGACGUCAUCUUCUUGAGGGAGGCGCCGGGGCCGACUCCUUCGACUGGGGCGGCCCAAGGCGGCCAGACUGAGCCUGCGCCCGCACAGUCGGCGGAAGGCGAGCCGGCCGCGGGAGCUGCGGUGGCGGUCCGGGUUCCGCCAAGCCGGCGCGCAGGGAAGGCCGCGUCGGAGCCGCAGAAAGCGGCGUCGGAGCCACGGCCGGCCGUGGGCUCCAGUUCGUCAGCCCGAGACGCGGAGGCGGCCAGCGCUACCUCAGGGUGGACGCCAGGCGGAGGGACAUCCGUGGUGAACAUCGCUGCGCAAGACGUCCGGACCCGGCUCCAGGGCCAAGCCGCGGCGCUGAGGCAGUUCACCGACGAAUUCCUCGCCACGCGGGCUGCCAUCCGGGUUAGUAUUCUCAUCUUCUUCUUGAUUUCUCUCGUGGGGGCGCGUCAGCGCACCCACUGGGUGUAG
rnacentral:rRNA from 1 species